rnacentral:rRNA from 1 species
GAUGAACGCUGGCGGCGUGCCUAAUACAUGCAAGUCGAGCGAACGGACGAGAAGCUUGCUUUUCUGAUGUUAGCGGCGGACGGGUGAGUAACACGUGGAUAACCUACCUAUAAGACUGGGAUGACUUCGGGAAACCGGAGCUAAUACCGGAUAAUAUUUUGAACCGCAUGGUUCAAAAGUGAAAGACGGUCUUGCUGUCACUUAUAGAUGGAUCCGCGCUGCAUUAGCUAGUUGGUAAGGUAACGGCUUACCAAGGCAACGAUGCAUAGCCGACCUGAGAGGGUGAUCGGCCACACUGGAACUGAGACACGGUCCAGACUCCUACGGGAGGCAGCAGUAGGGAAUCUUCCGCAAUGGGCGAAAGCCUGACGGAGCAACGCCGCGUGAAUGAUGAAGGUCUUCGGAUCGUAAAACUCUGUUAUUAGGGAAGAACAUAUGUGUAAGUAACUGUGCACAUCUUGACGGUACCUAAUCAGAAAGCCACGGCUAACUACGUG